rnacentral:rRNA from 1 species
GUAAGGAAUAUUGGUCAAUGGGCGCAAGCCUGAACCAGCCAUGCCGCGUGCAGGAAGACGGCCCUCCGGGUUGUAAACUGCUUUUGUACGGGAAUAAACCUCUCUACGUGUAGGGAGCUGAAUGUACCGUAAGAAUAAGGAUCGGCUAACUCCGUGCCAGCAGCCGCGGUAAUACGGAGGAUCCAAGCGUUAUCCGGAUUUAUUGGGUUUAAAGGGUGCGUAGGCGGCCUGUUAAGUCAGGGGUGAAAGACGGUGGCUCAACCAUCGCAGUGCCCUUGAUACUGAUGGGCUUGAAUAGACUAGAGGUAGGCGGAAUGUGACAAGUAGCGGUGAAAUGCAUAGAUAUGUCACAGAACACCGAUUGCGAAGGCAGCUUACUAUGGUCUGAUUGACGCUGAGGCACGAAAGCGUGGGGAUCGAACAGGAUUAGAAACCCCGGUAGUCC